UGGGGAAUAUUGGACAAUGGGCGCAAGCCUGAUCCAGCCAUGCCGCGUGAGUGAUGAAGGCCCUAGGGUUGUAAAGCUCUUUCACCGGUGAAGAUAAUGACGGUAACCGGAGAAGAAGCCCCGGCUAACUUCGUGCCAGCAGCCGCGGUAAUACGAAGGGGGCUAGCGUUGUUCGGAUUUACUGGGCGUAAAGCGCACGUAGGCGUACUAUUAAGUCAGGGGUGAAAUCCCGGGGCUCAACCCCGGAACUGCCUUUGAUACUGGUAGUCUUGAGGUCGAGAGAGGGGAGUGGAAUUCCGAGUGUAGAGGUGAAAUUAGUAGAUAUUCGGAGGAACACCAGUGGCGAAGGCGGCUCACUGGCUCGAUACUGACGCUGAGGUGCGAAAGCGUGGGGAGCAAACAGG
rnacentral:rRNA from 1 species